rnacentral:rRNA from 1 species
CCUACGGGGGGCAGCAGUGAGGAAUAUUGGUCAAUGGACGAGAGUCUGAACCAGCCAAGUAGCGUGAAGGAUGACUGCCCUAUGGGUUGUAAACUUCUUUUAUAUGGGAAUAAAACGUUCCACGUGUGGGAUUUUGUAUGUACCAUAUGAAUAAGGAUCGGCUAACUCCGUGCCAGCAGCCGCGGUAAUACGGAGGAUCCGAGCGUUAUCCGGAUUUAUUGGGUUUAAAGGGAGCGUAGGUGGAUUGUUAAGUGAGUUGUGAAAGUUUGCGGCUCAACCGUAAAAUUGCAGUUGAAACUGGCAGUCUUGAGUACAGUAGAGGUGGGCGGAAUUCGUGGUGUAGCGGUGAAAUGCUUAGAUAUCACGAAGAACUCCGAUUGCGAAGGCAGUUCACUGGACUGCAACUGACACUGAGGCUCGAAAGUGUGGGUAUCAAACAGGAUUAGAUACCCGUGUAGUC